GUGGCAUUUCAAGUGAGACCUGGACGAUGCGAAGCAGCCAGCUCUGACAAUGCUGAGGUCAGAACAUUCUGGACAGAGAGCACAGCGAGUCCGAAGAGCCUGAGGCCAGAAAACCCAGAAAACAGUGUUGCUCAAGUCACUGGCGAGAGGGAGGUAGGCUGGAGCAUCUUGUCGGCUCAGGAAGGAGUUUGGAAGACGUGAAGCUGGGGCUAUUCACGAGCCUGCUGUGAGUCUUCAUGGAAGGAAGACAAGGAAGCAGCUUGUAGAAGAAACAGAGACCUCCAGAGGCCUGGCAGCAGAGCCACCGGACACCUGGCUUCCCUGUGGAGAGCACGAUCGGUCAGGUGUGCGGCUCUGGCGAGUCCUUCUCAAGGCCCAGACCGGACAGCUGUUCCCAGCCUUCUUCAGGCCCAAGCCCUCUAGGAAUCUGAUGAGACGUGCCUGUUCCAUAGGGAAGCGCACACCUACAGAUCUUCUCUGCAUCCGUUUGGGGGUCUUAGAACCCCUGAAACCCAUCCAUGGACUCCCAGCCAAUGGGCCCCCAGGUCGGUUAGCUGAACUAGGAGGGCCUACAAUGGACUCACCUAGGGGAAAGGUGUUAAGAGAAUUCACGUUGACCAGAGGCCUGGAACGCAUGCGUGAUGGACACAUGUCAUCACUGACUGCCCAGCAUUUGACCUACCUUCCAAGGAUGAGAUACUUUCUACUUUCAAGGCGUCGGGGAUUUGAUAUGAUAUCUUGCAGUUUGGAAAUCUAUGGACAAAUGGGCUGCAUUCUCUCCUUUGGAUCCCUGACCCUCCGCCCCUCAAGGCUUCGGUCAGCCAGGUCAGCACCGCCCUCCUUGGGACCUCGACACUUCGGCCAGAGCAGCGACCCUAAAGGCUUCCUCCGCUCCUAGCUGAGAAGAGGGAGAGCGGCUCCUGGCUCUCCCCACGUUAAGGUCGCCCAGAGACCCCCGGCCUCGCUAGUU
rnacentral:lncRNA from 1 species